GGAUGUGAGGGUGAUCUGGCUGCAACAUCUGUCACCCCAUUGAUCGCCAAGGUCGAUUUAGCUGAUGUGGCUGGCUAGGUGGGUGUCCCCUUUCUCCCUCACCACUCCAUGUGUGUCCCUCCCAACACAUGCUCGGUCGAAGAGGACAACCUUCUCCGAAUGGAGGAGGACUGGUCUUCAGUUAAGGGUAUGCGAGUGGCUGCGCUCCACUGCUAGAACCUCCAAACAAGCUCUCAAGAAGAUUCUUUGAUCAAGGCUCAAAGUAGCAUUAAUUUUUUGGUAUAAAUGAAUAUUUAGAAUCUAAUAUGCUAUAU
rnacentral:snRNA from 1 species